GAAAAAGAAUGGCUAAAUAGGGGGUAAAAGGAACAAAAUGAAAUUUGUUUGUAUGAUGUCUUCUCAGUAGGCAACGUUUUAAAGAAUACAAGCGAAAAGAAAAAAUGAAAUCACAAUUAGUGUAGUGUCACGUUCAUUAGACGCAUAACUCAUGUAUCUACAUCUUAAUAAAGCAACCCAAAUCAUCUUUGAGGACCACACAUAAAAUGCUUUACACCCAAGGUCAC
rnacentral:misc_RNA from 1 species